CCUACGGGAGGCAGCAGUGGGGGAUAUUGCACAAUGGGGGAAACCCUGAUGCAGCGACGCCGCGUGGGCGAAGAAGUAUUUCGGUAUGUAAAGCCCUAUCAGCAGGGAAGAAGAAAUGACGGUACCUGAGUAAGAAGCACCGGCUAAAUACGUGCCAGCAGCCGCGGUAAUACGUAUGGUGCAAGCGUUAUCCGGAUUCACUGGGGGUAAAGGGAGCGUAGACGGCCAUGCAAGCCAGGGGUGAAAGCCCGGGGCCCAACCCCGGGACUGCCCUUGGAACUGCAUGGCUGGAGGGCGGGAGGGGCAGGCGGAAGUCCUGGUGUAGCGGUGAAAUGCGUAGAUAUCAGGAGGAACACCGGCGGCGAAGGCGGCCUGCUGGACCGCGACUGACGUUGAGGCUCGAAAGCGUGGGGAGCGAACAGGAUUAGAUACCCGGGUAGUC
rnacentral:rRNA from 1 species